rnacentral:tRNA from 1 species
AAGAGAUCAAGCAAGAAAGAAGCUGCUAACUAUCUUUUCAGGUGGUUAAAUUCCAUCAAUCUCUUA